rnacentral:rRNA from 1 species
AUGGUUACCGUCGCCGCCGCAGCCGCCAGUUACGACGACGAGGUUCACAGCCGUGCCGCGCUGCGGGAGGCCUUCGGAGACUCAUCAGACAGCGAUUCCGACGCGCCCCGCGGCGCGGCUAGCACCCCGCCGGUUCACGGGGCGGGCCGCGAGCGCUGGAGAUGGGCGGCGGUGGCGGGGGUAAGGGGCCUGUGGCUCUGCGCCGCCUUCCUCUCGCCCGACGAGCAGUCGCGCCUUCUCGCCGCGAUCCAACGAGAAGAAUGGUUCACUGAUGCACACAACCAAGCAAUGAGAUUUGGUGAUCUCCCUCCAUGGGCCGUGGAACUUUCUGCACUUGUUCGGGAAGCUAUUUGCGUUGGUGGUGUUGAUGCUAGUGUUGGCGCUGGGUGGAUGAACGAGGAUGAAGACGCAUGUCCUUUGCCGUCAGAUUUGCUGUGGAGAGAACCGCUUUUUGAUCAACUGAUUGCAAACAGAUACAAGCCAGGUGAGGGUAUUUGUGCCCAUGUUGAUCUCAUGCGCUUCGACGACGGGAUUGUUAUAGUCUCUCUCGAGUCUGCAUGCGUGAUGCGCUUCAGUCAAGAAGGUGCUGCCUGUGAUACGCAAAAGCACGGGGAGAGCGAAUGCACAAACGUCCCCGUCUACCUGAACCCAGGCUCACUUGUCGUAAUGUCAGGCGAUGCACGGUAUCACUGGAAGCAUGAGAUUAAUCGCAAGCCAGGUGCUCAGCUCUGGAACGGGAGUGAGCUUGAGCAGCAUAGAAGAACUUCAGUUACUCUGAGGAAACUCAGGGCUUCUCCCAACUAA